rnacentral:misc_RNA from 1 species
GAUGAAGAACGUAGCGAAAUGCGAUAAGUAAUGUGAAUUGCAGAAUACAGUGAAUCAUCGAAUCUUUGAACGCAUCUUGCGCUCCUUGGUAUUCUGAGGAGCAUGCCUGUUUGAGUGUCAUUAAAUUCUCAACUACACUGACUUUGAAUUGGUGUGGCUUGGAUUUGGGGGGAAAAUUGUUGUGGGCUUUUUGUAUAGUCUGCUCCCCUGAAAUUGAUUAGCGGUACCUUUGUGGAACUGUCUACAGGUGUGAUAAUUAUCUACAUCUUAGACAUCUGCUGGAAUGCUGCUUUCUAAACCUUACUUGUAUUGACAAUCUUGACCUCAAAUCAGGUAGGACUACCCGCUGAACUUAAGCAUAUCAAUAAGCGGAGGA